UACGUAGGGUGCGAGCGUUGUCCGGAAUUAUUGGGCGUAAAGAGCUUGUAGGCGGUUUGUCGCGUCUGCUGUGAAAAUCCGGGGCUCAACCCCGGACUUGCAGUGGUACGGGCAGACUAGAGUGUGGUAGGGGAGACUGGAAUUCCUGGUGUAGCGGUGAAAUGCGCAGAUAUCAGGAGGAACACCGAUGGCGAAGGCAGGUCUCUGGGCCACUACUGACGCUGAGGAGCGAAAGCGUGGGUAGCAAACAGG
rnacentral:rRNA from 1 species